rnacentral:rRNA from 1 species
UACAGAGGGUGCGAGCGUUAAUCGGAAUUAUUGGGCGUAAAGGGCGUGUAGGUGGUUUUGUAAGUUUGAUGUGAAAGCCCUGGGCUUAACCUGGGAACGGCGUUGAAGACUGCAAGACUAGAGUUGGACAGAGGGUAGUGGAAUUUCCGGUGUAGCGGUGAAAUGCGUAGAGAUCGGAAAGAACAUCCGUGGCGAAGGCGGCUACCUGGGUCCAAACUGACACUGAGGCGCGAAAGCAUGGGGAGCAAACAGG